GACGAAGGGGGCUAGCGUUGUUCGGAAUUACUGGGCGUAAAGAGCGUGUAGGCGGUUUGAUAAGUUGGGAGUGAAAGCCCGGGGCUUAACCUCGGAAUUGCUCUCAAAACUGUCAGACUAGAGUUAGGUAGGGGGUGAUAGAAUUCCUAGUGUAGAGGUGAAAUUCUUAGAUAUUAGGAGGAAUACCGGUGGCGAAGGCGGUCACCUGGACCUUAACUGACGCUGAGACGCGAAAGCGUGGGGAGCAAACAGG
rnacentral:rRNA from 1 species